GUCUUACUGGGCGCAGUGGUUUGAGUGUUGGACUAUUUCUCUGGAGACCAGGGUUCGAUUCCCCGCUUGGCCA